UAUAUUUUUAAAACAACCGGAUUUACUAAUAAUGGGUUUUUCCUUAUUUCAAAAAUAAAAUAAAUUUUAGGUCAUUUUAUAAUAGCAUGUGUCGAUAAAUAAAUAUAGAAUAUAAUGAUUAACAAAAGUUCAUUUUAAUAUAAAAUGUAUUAUUUGGAGCGCGUGAUAUUUUUUUUAUAUAAAUAAAUGCUGAAUAAAGUCCAAAUGUAUCGUUAAUUACCUAAACUAUUAGCUCGCAUAUAUAAGGUCUCUUAAUCAUCGCUUCUCAACAUCAUUUAGUCCAAAGCAUUCACAGGCAUUGUCAUUUUGGAGACAGACUAAUAAAUAUCAAUCGAAAUAAAAUGGGAACAUCAUUUCUAUUAUUAUUAUUUUCGGUGGUUUUCGCUGCCUGCAUUUCGAUGUCAAUUGGAAAACACAUGAGUAAUAGAUUGACUACACUCAAAGAAAAUGAGCCAGCUUGUGAAAAAUAUUUUUGUAAUCAAGCAUCAAUUUUUUUCAACAUUGAUGCUGUAUGUUCAAGAUCACACAAAAUAAUCACCAGAAUAUCAGUAAGAAAACAAAAAAUACCUAAUCUUCCAAGUGACAUAUUCAAUGGAUUUAUUCAUCUUGAAAAUUUAAGAUUGAUAAAUAUAAAUUUGGAAAAAUUAGAUGAAAAUAUUUUUGA